rnacentral:rRNA from 1 species
UACGUAGGGUGCAGGCGUUAAUCGGAAUUACAGGGCGUAAAGCGUGCGCAGGCGGUUUCUUAAGUCAGAUGUGAAAGCCCCGGGCUUAACCUGGGAACUGCGUUUGAAACUGGGAGACUUGAGUGUGGCAGAGGGGGGUGGAAUUCCACGUGUAGCAGUGAAAUGCGUAGAUAUGUGGAGGAACACCGAUGGCGAAGGCAGCCCCCUGGGUUAACACUGACGCUCAUGCACGAAAGCGUGGGGAGCAAACAGG